rnacentral:lncRNA from 1 species
AGGUGCCCCUUGUGAUCUUUAAGAGGGAGAAGGAGCUGGCCCGGAAGCUGGAGUUCGAUGGUCUCUACAUUACAGAGCAGCCAGAGGAUGAUGAUGUGAAGGGACAGUGGGAUCGCCUGGUGCUCAACACACCGUCUUUCCCCAGCAACUACUGGGACAAGUUUGUCAAGCGGAAGGUUCUGGACAAACACGGGGACAUCUUCGGGCGGGAGCGGAUUGCAGAGCUGCUGGGCAUGGAUCUGGCCUCUCUGGAGAUCACAGCCCACAAUGAGCGCAAACCUGACCCUCCACCAGGCCUGCUGACAUGGAUCAUGUCCAUCGAUGUCAAAUACCAGAUCUGGAAGUUUGGAGUCAUCUUCACAGACAACUCUUUCCUGUAUCUGGGCUGGUACAUGGUGAUGUCCCUCCUGGGCCACUACAAUAACUUCUUCUUCGCUGCCCACCUCUUGGAUAUCGCCAUGGGAGUCAAGACGCUGCGCACCAUCCUUUCAUCCGUCACUCACAACGGAAAGCAGCUGGUGAUGACAGUAGGGCUCCUGGCUGUAGUGGUCUACUUGUAUACGGUGGUGGCCUUCAACUUCUUCCGCAAGUUCUACAACAAGAGCGAAGAUGAGGACGAGCCUGACAUGAAGUGUGACGACAUGAUGACGUGCUACCUGUUCCACAUGUAUGUGGGCGUCCGGGCCGGUGGUGGCAUCGGGGACGAGAUCGAGGACCCGGCUGGUGAUGAAUAUGAACUGUACCGGGUCGUCUUCGACAUCACCUUUUUCUUCUUCGUCAUUGUCAUCCUACUGGCUAUCAUCCAGGGUCUGAUUAUUGAUGCUUUCGGGGAGCUCCGAGACCAACAAGAGCAAGUGAAGGAAGACAUGGAGACCAAGUGCUUCAUCUGUGGGAUAGGCAGUGACUACUUCGACACGACCCCACAUGGGUUUGAGACCCACACUCUGGAAGAGCACAACCUAGCCAAUUACAUGUUUUUCCUGAUGUAUUUGAUAAAUAAGGAUGAGACAGAGCACACCGGUCAGGAGUCAUAUGUCUGGAAGAUGUACCAGGAGAGGUGCUGGGACUUCUUCCCUGCUGGAGACUGUUUCCGAAAGCAGUAUGAGGACCAGCUUGGCUGAGGUCUGCAGCUGGCCCUCCCCCACCUCAAGUGCCUUCUCCCACUGCAAGCUCCUCCCCAGGCAGCUGGGGACAGGUGAUCCUGAACUAGACCAAUAAAGCCUCUGCUACACCCCC